UACGGAGGAUGCGAGCGUUAUCCGGAUUUAUUGGGUUUAAAAGGUGCGCAGGCGGCACGGCAAGCCGGCGGUCAAAUCGCGGGGCUCAACCCCGCCCAGCCGUCGGAACUGCCGGGCUAGAGUGGGCGAGAAGUGCGCGGAAUGCGUGGUGUAGCGGUGAAAUGCAUAGAUAUCACGCAGAACUCCGAUUGCGAAGGCAGCGCACCGGCGCCCUACUGACGCUCAGGCACGAAAGCGUGGGUAUCGAACAGG
rnacentral:rRNA from 1 species